UGAGUUUCUUAUGGGAAAAAAGUAAGAUUUUUCUUUGGAGAACUAAGCAAGUAGAGUAAAAUUUAUUUUAUGGCUGGCAAUAUUUUUUUUUACCUUCUAUUUCAAAUCAGGAAAUCUUCAUAGUACAAAAUAGCAUGCUAGUGGUCUUCUGGCAUUGGAGUGCAUUCCAGAAAUUCUUAACUGAUACUUGAUUAAUUCUAUACCUUUGAUUAAAACAUGCUAAUUCAAAAUAAGCGUUCUCAAUUUCCAAGGACUUCCAAUCCUACUUACUUUCAUAAAGGUUCUUUAGUCUCUG
rnacentral:lncRNA from 1 species